rnacentral:rRNA from 1 species
UACGUAGGGUGCAGGCGUUAAUCGGAAUUACUGGGCGUAAAGCGUGCGCAGGCGGCCUCUUAAGUCAGAUGUGAAAUCCCCGGGCUUAACCUGGGAACUGCGUUUGAAACUGGGAGGCUAGAGUGUGGAAGAGGGGGGUGGAAUUCCAGGUGUAGCAGUGAAAUGCGUAGAUAUCUGGAGGAAUACCGGUGGCGAAGGCGGCAUCCUGGACCGACAUUGACGCUGAACGGCGAAAGCUAGGGGAGCAAACGGG